rnacentral:rRNA from 1 species
UACGAAGGGGGCUAGCGUUGCUCGGAAUGACUGGGCGUAAAGGGCGCGUAGGCGGCUCAUACAGUCAGAUGUGAAAUUCCUGGGCUUAACCUGGGGGCUGCAUUUGAUACGUGUGGGCUUGAGUGGGGAAGAGGGUCGUGGAAUUCCCAGUGUAGAGGUGAAAUUCGUAGAUAUUGGGAAGAACACCGGUGGCGAAGGCGGCGACCUGGUCCUUGACUGACGUUGAGGCGCGAAAGCGUGGGGAGCAAACAGG